rnacentral:rRNA from 1 species
GAACGCUGGCGGCGUGCCUAACACAUGCAAGUCGAACGGAGUUAUGAUGUGAGCGGGAAGUGCUUGCACUAAACAAUCUUUUCAUAACUUAGUGGCGGACGGGUGAGUAACGCGUGGGUAACCUGCCCUGUACUGGGGGACAACAGUUGGAAACGACUGCUAAUACCGCAUAAGCGCACGGGAUCGCAUGAUCCAGUGUGAAAAACUCCGGUGGUACAGGAUGGACCCGCGUCUGAUUAGCUGGUUGGUGAGGUAACGGCCCACCAAGGCAACGAUCAGUAGCCGGCCUGAGAGGGUGAACGGCCACAUUGGGACUGAGACACGGCCCAAACUCCUACGGGAGGCAGCAGUGGGGAAUAUUGCACAAUGGGGGAAACCCUGAUGCAGCGACGCCGCGUGAGUGAAGAAGUAUUUCGGUAUGUAAAGCUCUAUCAGCAGGGAAGAAAAUGACGGUACCUGACUAAGAAGCCCCGGCUAACUACGUGCCAGCAGCCGCGGUAAUACGUAGGGGGCAAGCGUUAUCCGGAUUUACUGGGUGUAAAGGGAGCGUAGACGGCAUGGCAAGUCUGAAGUGAAAUGCGGGGGCUCAACCCCUGAACUGCUUUGGAAACUGUCAGGCUGGAGUGCAGGAGAGGUAAGUGGAAUUCCUAGUGUAGCGGUGAAAUGCGUAGAUAUUAGGAGGAACACCAGUGGCGAAGGCGGCUUACUGGACUGUAACUGACGUUGAGGCUCGAAAGCGUGGGGAGCAAACAGGAUUAGAUACCCUGGUAGUCCACGCCGUAAACGAUGAUUACUAGGUGUUGGGGAUUUAUAAAUCCCCGGUGCCGUCGCAAACGCAAUAAGUAAUCCACCUGGGGAGUACGUUCGCAAGAAUGAAACUCAAAGGAAUUGACGG